AUGAAGUAAAAGUCGUAACAAGGUUCCGUAGGUGAACCGCGGAAGGAUCAUUAAAAAUAUCACAUUUGUUUGUGAUUUAAUAAUCAUCCUACCCUUUGUGAAUUGUUUUUGUUUGAAUUUAUGUUGUCUAUCCUGGAUAUGAAGAAAAGUUGUAAAAGACUUUUUUUCAUUCUAGGAAUAGGCUUUCAUAGACAUUUUUUUAAAUUAAACUUUUGUAUUCAUUUGUCUAAAAUUUAUUUUAAUAAUUAAAAACAACUUUGACAAUGGAUCUCUUGGUUCUCGCAACGAUGAAGAACGCAGCAAAUGCGAUAAGUAAUGUGAAUUGCAGAAUACGUGAAUCAUCAAUUUUCGAACGCAUAUUGCACUUUUUAGUUACUAAAAAAGUAUGUCUGUUUGAGUAUCAGUAAAAUUCUCAUAAAAACUAUGUUUUAUGGUUAUGAGUGUUUUACAGCAUAACAAGUUGUUCACUUUAAUUGAUUUUUUUAAAAAGCCAAUUGGUUUUAUUUUAAAAUUGGAUAAAAUUUUCCCGUAAAAAGGAUAAACUUUCAGUUUUAAAUUAAAUCUAAUUGACCUGAAAAAGGAAAUUUAAUUAUAAACUAACUUGAUCUCAAAUCAGAUAAGAGUACCGCUGAACUUAAGCAUAUCAAUAAGCGGAGGAAAAGAACUAACAAGGAUUCCCUUAGUAACGGCGAGUGAAGCGGGAAGAGCUCAAAUUUGAAAUCUUCAAGGUUCUACCUUGACGAAUUGUAGUUAAAGAAGUGUUUCUGUUAGUGGAGUGGCAAAGUUCUUUGGAAUAGACAUCAUAGAGGGUGAGAAUCCGUAUUUGGUCAUUCCUUCUAGCUUUGUGAUACACUUUCAAAGAGUCGGAUUGUUUGGGAAUGCAGUCCAAAAUGGGUGGUAAAUUCAUCUAAAGCUAAAUAUGGCGAGAGACCGAUAGCGAACAAGUACCGUGAGGAAAGAUGAAAGAACUUUGAAAAGAGAGUUAAACAGUACGUGAAAUUGUCAAAAGGGAAGCGUUUGACACCAGUGUUGUUUUCCGAAAAUCAAUUAUAGAUGUUUUGUUUCUGAGGAGUGAUGACUUCAUCGGCUUCCUUCUCUCUCACGAAACUUUUGUAAUGCACUUUUCGGUUAACAAGUCAACAUCAUUCUUUGUUGUAAAGAGUAUUCGGAAGGUGGCUUUCUUUUCGGAGAAAGUGUUAUAGCCUAUACUUCACAAUCGGAGAGAUGAGGUCUGCAGCGUAGAUCCUCGGGUAGAUACACUUGUGCUAAGUUACAGCUUUU
rnacentral:misc_RNA from 1 species